rnacentral:rRNA from 1 species
GAUAGUGGCGACGGGUGAGUAACACGUGGGCAAUCUGCCCUUCACUCUGGGACAAGCCCUGGAAACGGGGUCUAAUACCGGAUGACACUCUGUCCUGCAUGGGAUGGGGUUGAAAGCUCCGGCGGUGAAGGAUGAGCCCGCGGCCUAUCAGCUUGUUGGUGGGGUAAUGGCCUACCAAGGCGACGACGGGUAGCCGGCCUGAGAGGGCGACCGGCCACACUGGGACUGAGACACGGCCCAGACUCCUACGGGAGGCAGCAGUGGGGAAUAUUGCACAAUGGGCGGAAGCCUGAUGCAGCGACGCCGCGUGAGGGAUGACGGCCUUCGGGUUGUAAACCUCUUUCAGCAGGGAAGAAGCGAGAGUGACGGUACCUGCAGAAGAAGCGCCGGCUAACUACGUGCCAGCAGCCGCGGUAAUACGUAGGGCGCAAGCGUUGUCCGGAAUUAUUGGGCGUAAAGAGCUCGUAGGCGGCUUGUCACGUCGGAUGUGAAAGCCCGGGGCUUAACCCCGGGUCUGCAUUCGAUACGGGCUAGCUAGAGUGUGGUAGGGGAGAUCGGAAUUCCUGGUGUAGCGGUGAAAUGCGCAGAUAUCAGGAGGAACACCGGUGGCGAAGGCGGAUCUCUGGGCCAUUACUGACGCUGAGGAGCGAAAGCGUGGGGAGCGAACAGGAUUAGAUACCCUGGUAGUCCACGCCGUAAACGUUGGGAACUAGGUGUUGGCGACAUUCCACGUCGUCGGUGCCGCAGCUAACGCAUUAAGUUCCCCGCCUGGGGAGUACGGCCGCAAGGCUAAACUCAAAGGAAUUGACGGG